rnacentral:tRNA from 1 species
UUUGGUAACCAUUAUGUUGGGGGUUGUGUUUCGGCCACAGUCUAGGAGGGAGUGUCGUCCUACCAGAA